CCUACGGGAGGCAGCAGUGAGGAAUAUUGGUCAAUGGACGAGAGUCUGAACCAGCCAAGUAGCGUGAAGGAUGACUGCCCUAUGGGUUGUAAACUUCUUUUAUAAAGGAAUAAAACGAGGCACGUGUGCCUUUUUGCAUGUACUUUAUGUAUAAGGAUCGGCUAACUCCGUGCCAGCAGCCGCGGUAAUACGGAGGAUCCGAGCGUUAUCCGGAUUUAUUGGGUUUAAAGGGAGCGUAGAUGGGUUGGUAAGUCAGUUGUGAAAGUUUGCGGCUCAACCGUAAAAUUGCAAUUGAUACUGGCAGACUUGAGUACAGUUGAGGUAGGCGGAAUUCGUGGUGUAGCGGUGAAAUGCUUAGAUAUCACGAAGAACUCCGAUUGCGAAGGCAGCUUACUAAACUGCCACUGACAUUGAUGCUCGAAAGUGUGGGUAUCAAACAGGAUUAGAUACCCCUGUAGUC
rnacentral:rRNA from 1 species